GGAGCUCAUCAAGAACUAAUGGCUUAAUAACAAAAGAACAAAGUCUACUCCUCAGAAAGCUUUCUCUCAUGCACUCUGCAUUGUCUGCAUUCAUAAAAUAAUUUCAGGAAAAUUGCCCUCAAUAAAGCUAUUUAUUUUUGCAGCAAUAAGCAAAAAAAAUGUACGUGUAAACACAAUAAGGCUAUGCUUGAACUAUCGAUCACAUUGGCCCCUGGGAAUUAAAGACUCAGGGGCCCUUUCCAAAACAGCCCAGGAGCAGACCUGUGGUAAGAACAGCUGGUUAAGGAGGGUGGUAAAUGGAAAAGGUCUGACAGCUUUUGCUGCUUCUCUUCCGUUUGCUCAAGCCCAGCAAACCCAUUUUACAAAGGUAACAUCUCACGAAGGUCACAGCACAGACACGUGUUACAACAGCAGAACGUCCCAUAGGUGCCACAUCUGGAUGCUCAGCCCCUACGGUGCCGCAGGGAGCGUGCUCUUUAAAUACAAAUAAACUGAUCUGCCUUUGAUCUAGAGCUGUAAGAUCUGGCGAUAAGCAGGGAGAAAGGCAAUCGCGGCAAAAUAGAAGCGGUGAACUUUGCUGCCAUCGCUUUCACGUAGUUCUGCAGUAAAACACUCAUUAGCAAAUCUUACCUUCCCAGCUCUAAGCGGGCCCUGCAGAAAUUCCUUCAGUGACAAAAAAGGUCACUAAGUGCCUGCACCCUUAGCUUCCCUUUGCAGUCUGACCUCAGUGCAAGGCACCUGAUGGCAGGCAGCAGCCACACACUGCCGCCUCGCUGACAAAACUCCAAGAGCAGUAGAUUCACAGUCACAACAGUUGGUCAAUGCCCCUGCUGGUGUUUACCAACUCAGCCCCACCAGAGGCACGCUUUCAGGCUGCCAGCGGCCUGCCCACAUCAUCUUCACUGAUGACUUUGACAGUGGGAUGGAGUGCACCCUCACAGCAGUUGGUGGAUGACACCAAGCUGUGUGGUGAGGUUGACACAGCCAAGGGACGGGAUGCCAUUCAGAGAGACCUGGCAGGCCGAGCAGUGAGCGAACAUGAACUUCAUGAGGUUCAACACAUCCAAAUGCAGUCUUGCAACCGGGUCGAGGCAACCCCCGCUAUCGGUGCAGGUUGGAGAACGUAGGGAUGGAGCACAGCCCUGCCUAAAAGGACUUGCAGGUACUGGUGGGUGGCAGCUGGACGUGAGCCAGCAGUGUGCCCUCACAGCCCAGAAAGCCAACUGAAAGCUGCAUCAAAAGGAGUGUGGCCAGCAUGGCAAGGGAGGUGAUCCUGACCCUCUGCUCUGCGCUGUGAGACCUCACCUGCAGUACUGUGUCCACGUGUGGAGUCCUCAGCAUGGGAAAGACAUGGGCCUGUUGGAGUGUGUCCACAGGAGGGCCACAGAAAUGAUCCAAAACAUGGGAUACCUCUCCUGCAAGGACAGGCUGAUAGGACUGGGGCUGUUCAGCACGGAGAAGGCUCUGAGGGCUGUAAGAAGGAAGGGGAUGGAUUCUACAGUAGGGCCUGUUGGGACAGGACAAGGGGAAACAGUUUCAAACUAAAAGAGGAGAGAUUUAGGUCGGAUAUAAGGAAAAAGUCUGUCACAGAACGGUGAGGCAGUGGCACAGGUUGCUCAGAGAGGCGGUGGAUGUCCCGUCCCCGGAGACACCCAAGGCCUGGCAGACAGGCUACCCGGGCCCGCCUGGGCCGCCCUCCGUUCGGAGCGCCCCGGGGCUCUCAGUUCCACGCCGCGUCGCCGCUCAGCGCCGCGCUCUGCCUCUGCCCGCAGCCGUCCCG
ensembl:lncRNA